AAGAGACGUUGCCCUUCGGGGUAUACCUCCCACCCAUUGUUUAUUUACCUUUGUUGCUUUGGCAGUCCCGGCUUCGGCCCACCGGCUCCGGCUGGUCAGUGACUGUCGAAGAUACCAAAACUCUGUUUGUUAAUAUUGUCUGAGUACUAUAUAAUAGUUA
rnacentral:misc_RNA from 1 species